rnacentral:lncRNA from 1 species
UAACUGGAAGCAAAUGCAUUUGUGGUCAGAGCUGAGGGGGGGAUCAGGACUCUCCAGACAGAACUCUCACUGGCCCCUGGGACAUGGAGCCAGUUAUGUGAUCCGACCGAGAGAGGAAGGGGAACCUGUGAGGAAGCACUGUGGAGGAGCCAGUCUGUUCUGAGGACCAGCUACAGUGUGACAGGAGUGUGAGCAGCGCUGUGGGAAAAGAAGGCUAUAAUUUGCCCAUUUUACACGUCAAUCAAGCGCCCGGAGUCGCUGUAGCUUUGUGGCAUGCUGUCUGGGCAAUCUUACAUUUGAAAAAGAUGAAAAUCCAAGCUCCUUGUGUGUGGCUCAAAACCAACCGCCAUCUCUCCCCAGGGCCUCAGCAGGGAGCCUGGAACACAGCAAACUCAGCACCUGGGUUCAACCAUUCCUGAAGUUGCAUGGAUAGCUUCUGCAUGGCAAUUAUUUGACACGGAUCUAUCACCACCAUGACAUACCCAAAGACAGCAACAGACUCAUGCAACAGUGCUCAUGCUCCAGUGAAAUCCAGCUGGCCUGAGGCUAUGAGAACAAGUGCAGGCUCACAAUUGUAUGCCAAAGAGAUGUAGCAGGUGUUUGUUACCCAGCAGGAGCUGACUGUUACAUGUGCACACCCUAAGACUGCCUUUCCUGGUUUCUGAGAGCAGUUGGAUUACAAAGAGUUUCAGGACUGGAUGUGGUCAACAGGAAAUGGCCUGUCACUUGCAUGUCAUAGUCCUGGAGUCAAGUGCUGUGGGCUAGACCAAAGUGCCAUGAUCCCUCUUGGCUCUCCCCUGUUACACACCAGAUACAUGAGACACAACACUAAAUUAUCCCGCCUGCUUCUUUUAAAAGUGUGGCUCUCUUUGAAACAAGAGUCUCAAACACCACAGGCCAAGCCGGAACUUGCUCUGUAGACCAGGCUGACCUCAAGCUCACAGAGAUCCACCUUCCGAGUGUGGGGACUAAAGGUAUGAGCCAUAAUGUCCCUGCCUCUAAAUUCUUAGAACUCAGACUGACAUUUAACCA